rnacentral:rRNA from 1 species
GACGAACGCUGGCGGCGUGCUUAACACAUGCAAGUCGAACGGAAAGGCCCUGCUUUUGUGGGGUGCUCGAGUGGCGAACGGGUGAGUAACACGUGAGUAACCUGCCCUUGACUUUGGGAUAACUUCAGGAAACUGGGGCUAAUACCGGAUAUGAGCUCCUGCUGCAUGGUGUGGGGUGGAAAGUGUCGGCGGUUGGGGAUGGACUCGCGGCUUAUCAGCUUGUUGGUGGGGUAGUGGCUUACCAAGGCUUUGACGGGUAGCCGGCCUGAGAGGGUGACCGGCCACAUUGGGACUGAGAUACGGCCCAGACGCCUACGGGAGGCAGGAGUGGGGAAUAGUGCACAAUGGGCGGAAGCCUGAUGCAGCAACGCCGCGUGCGGGAUGACGGCCUUCGGGUUGUAAACCGCUUUCGCCUGUGACGAAGCGUGAGUGACGGUAAUGGGUAAAGAAGCACCGGCUAACUACGUG